CUACUCAGGUUCAAGCACAGGGCAACGGACGCGGUGGGGAGGGUUGGGGUGGGGCGUGCUGGGGUAGGGGGAAGGCGGUGGCGGGAACUGCGCACACAGCGAAGGGCGGGGGUCAGGGUGCUCCGCGCACAGCCCAGCACAGCCCUGCAUGCGGGGUCCGCGCUCUGCACCCGGCCCUCCCUCACCGAGGCGCACCUAGGGCGGCUACUGAAAACUGGUGCCUGGUGGCCCGUGUGCACAGCUCGGGGCGCCGCGCGGCCCGCCAGUGACUCAGCGCGGGGCGUGUGCAGGCGGCGCCCGCCCCGGAGGGCUUUUGCACUCGCCCCGGCUCCUUCCCGCUAUAAAGUCAGCCCACAGCGCCCUCCGCUUCAGCACGCCCCCUCGACUUCCUUGCCAUACUUCGUGACACAGUCUCCGGACCCCAGCCUCCGCUUCGUCUCGCCAUGGAUCCCAACUGCUCCUGCACCGCAGGCGGAUCCUGCACGUGUGCCGGCUCCUGCAAAUGCAAAGACUGCAAAUGCACCUCCUGCAAGAAGAGCUGCUGCUCCUGCUGCCCUCCGGGCUGCGCCAAGUGUGCCCAGGGCUGCAUCUGCAAAGGGACCUCAGACAAGUGCAGCUGUUGUGCCUGAUGUCGCGGAGAGCCUGCCCCGGGUGUAAAUAGAGCAACCAGGACAAACCUACAUUCCUCUUUUUUUUUUUUGUCCUAUAAAAUACAAGAAUGAUAAUAAAAGUGGUUGGCUUUAUUCUGGCUGUUUUCCUUAACUUGACCAGAGCUGGGGUGAGGGACUGGGCUAGUAGUACACAGACUUGGUUUCUGGACCAAAAUGUUAGCCCUUAACAAACCCAGUGCCUUGUUCAAGCCACAUUACCCCACUGGGCUUCAUCUUUUGUAAAACGGAAGAGCCUUAGGCCAGAUGCUAUAAGGACACUGGGCACAUACAGGGUCCCCUCUGUUUUCAAGUCAAGGGUUGGUGGCACAGAAACUUCUCAAUCCAGAAUCCUCAUUCUCCAUGGUUUCCCUGUUCAACUGCAGUUCCUCGCUGGAUUUUAGUCUUCAGUGACUACAGGGGUGGAAAACUCCCUCACCUGCUUGAAUCUAAAUGGGGCGUCUAAAAAAUCCCUGUGGUGAAGGAACAGAUUUCAUUUCCCAUCCAUUGCAGACCUAAACCUUGGUAAAAAACAGAAACAAAAAAAAUUAUAAAAAUGCCACAGAACAAUACAAAGCCCACGUUUUCAGAUUCCACACACGUAAUUUCAGUCAAUAUAUGAAAAACAAACAAAAUCAGAGAUUUAAAAACGUCGC
rnacentral:lncRNA from 1 species